AAUUCGGCUGUGAAUCCGUCUGGUCCUGGACUUUUUUUGGACAGCAGUUGGUUGACAUUUAAAGGGCUACUGUCCCAGAAGGCUGCUUGCCUGGGCCCAUGGCACUGCCAGAAAUCACAAGACUAAGCUGAAAAAGCACAAAGAAGUUUCCUUUCAUUCCAGGAACCUCUUGGCUUGAAUAUGAAAUAGCCUCUUAGUGACACUACACUGCAAUUUCAAAUAAUAGGUUUUUUAUCACCUCUUUGAGAAAUAUCACCUUGGGUUCAUCCCAGAAAAAUAAUACAAAGUAGAAUUUUUUCAAACGUAAUCCCCUUGGGUUCCUCUCAGAAAAAAAUAGAAAGUAGAAUUCUUUCAAACUUAAUCCCCUCUUUGUAUUUGUCUCCUCUGCAUCUCUCCAAAGUAGAUGGGUAGGAGAGGGAAACAGUGCUGUAGAAAAUGGGACAAGAACACACCCUAAUAAAACAAGAAAACAUGGUUUGCCAGAGGUCUCCUUUCCCAGGCUCAAGCCUCAAGUUUCUAAUUGUCCCUACAUUACUCCCACAAAUGCCUUUCUGGGAGAGUCUUGUAUGCUAGACCUCUGCCAUCUUCCCAUCCUUUCUCCCUUCCUCCUAACCUUCACUCUUGAGAAAGACUCAUCCUGGCUUCUGUGUCCAUAGAACCUUGAAGCAGCUUUCUGGUGAGGAGGUGAGCUACUUCCUGCAAAACUACUAGUAGCUGCUAUUGAUUAAUGUAUUCUUCCAACCAGGUAAUGUAUUCCUGUUCCAACAGAAGUCUUCUUGAGACAUAUCUGAAAGUGACAUAGUAACCAGAAGGAAGAUUUUUGGAGGGUUCUUGAACUAGCUCUACAUAGGAAACUGCCAACAAUAACUUCCUGUGGCAUUUGUUAAGUUGUGAUUCUGCCCCUCACUGCUUGACUUAGUCCUCUUGACAAGGGCCAGGAGGAGAAAACAGGUCUCAAAGAACAGUGUACAUCAAAGCCUGGCUUUCCAGCAAUGCCUGACCCUGCCAAAGAAGGCAGGGAAGCCCCCACAGAGCCUCUUAGAAACCUCAACUCCCUCAGCCUCUUGUCCCAGAGCAUCACUGGCAGGUAUAGACCAAGCAUAUCCACAUCCACACGUACGUCUUUUUUGCUUUUAUUCAUUUUAGUUUAUAACAACUAUUUAUUUAGGACGUGGUUCUGUGAGCUGUUAAAUUGUUCUAUUGUCAGAUCAUAGCUGUAUACAUUUGUGGGGUGUCAAAACGAUGUUUUAACAUAUACAUACAAUCAGUGUGAUUAAAUCAAGCUAAUUAACACAUCCA
rnacentral:lncRNA from 1 species